rnacentral:rRNA from 1 species
UACAGAGGUCUCAAGCGUUGUUCGGAUUCAUUGGGCGUAAAGGGUGCGUAGGUGGCGCGCUAAGUCAGGUGUGAAAUUUCGGAGCUUAACUCCGAAACUGCAUUUGAUACUGGCGUGCUUGAGGACUGGAGAGGAGACUGGAAUUCACGGUGUAGCAGUGAAAUGCGUAGAUAUCGUAAGGAAGACCAGUGGCGAAGGCGGGUCUCUGGACAGUUCCUGACGCUGAGGCACGAAGGCCAGGGGAGCAAACGGG